GCGGGGUGGAUGGUUGGCAGUUAGGGGCGAAACGGGGUGUUUUGGUUGGUGGUUAGGGGCGAAGCGGGGUGUUUUGGUUGGCGGUUAGGGGCGAAGCGAGGUGGAUAGUUGGCGGUUAGGGGUGAAGCGUGGUGUUUUGGUUGGCGGUUAGGGGCGAAGAGGGGUGGAUGGUUGGCGGUUAGGGGCGAAGCGGGGUGUUUUGGUUGGCGGUUAGGGGUGAAGCGGGGUGGAUGGUUGACAGUCAGGGGCGAAGCGGGGUGGAUGGUUGACAGUCAGGGGCGAAGCGGGGUGUUUAUGUUGGCGGUUAGGGGCGAAGCGGGGUGGUUGGUUGGCGGUUAGGGGCGAAGCGUGAUGUUUUGGUUGGCGGUCAGGGGUGAAGCGGAUGGUUGGCGGUUAGGGGGAAUGCGGGGUGGAUGGUUGGCGGUUAGGGGCGAAGCGUGGUGUUUGGUU
ensembl:lncRNA